rnacentral:rRNA from 1 species
AGCUCAAAUUUGAAAUCUGGCUCUCGGGCCCGAGUUGUAAUUUGUAGAGGAUGCUUUUGAUGCGGUGCCUUCCGAGUUCCCUGGAACGGGACGCCAUAGAGGGUGAGAAUCCCGU